UAGACAUUUCAUCAGCCACUAAGGAGCAC
rnacentral:piRNA from 1 species